rnacentral:rRNA from 1 species
CGGCGUCGAGCGGCGGACGGGUGAGUAAUGCCUAGGAAAUUGCCCUGAUGUGGGGGAUAACCAUUGGAAACGAUGGCUAAUACCGCAUAGUACCUACGGGUCAAAGAGGGGGACCUUCGGGCCUCUCGCGUCAGGAUAUGCCUAGGUGGGAUUAGCUAGUUGGUGAGGUAAUGGCUCACCAAGGCGACGAUCCCUAGCUGGUCUGAGAGGAUGAUCAGCCACACUGGAACUGAGACACGGUCCAGACUCCUACGGGAGGCAGCAGUGGGGAAUAUUGCACAAUGGGCGCAAGCCUGAUGCAGCCAUGCCGCGUGUGUGAAGAAGGCCUUCGGGUUGUAAAGCACUUUCAGUCGUGAGGAAGGUGGUGUAGUUAAUAGCUGCAUUAUUUGACGUUAGCGACAGAAGAAGCACCGGCUAACUCCGUGCCAGCAGCCGCGGUAAUACGGAGGGUGCGAGCGUUAAUCGGAAUUACUGGGCGUAAAGCGCAUGCAGGUGGUUUGUUAAGUCAGAUGUGAAAGCCCGGGGCUCAACCUCGGAAUAGCAUUUGAAACUGGCAGACUAGAGUACUGUAGAGGGGGGUAGAAUUUCAGGUGUAGCGGUGAAAUGCGUAGAGAUCUGAAGGAAUACCGGUGGCGAAGGCGGCCCCCUGGACAGAUACUGACACUCAGAUGCGAAAGCGUGGGGAGCAAACAGGAUUAGAUACCCUGGUAGUCCACGCCGUAAACGAUGUCUACUUGGAGGUUGUGGCCUUGAGCCGUGGCUUUCGGAGCUAACGCGUUAAGUAGACCGCCUGGGGAGUACGGUCGCAAGAUUAAAACUCAAAUGAAUUGACGGGGGCCCGCACAAGCGGUGGAGCAUGUGGUUUAAUUCGAUGCAACGCGAAGAACCUUACCUACUCUUGACAUCCAGAGAACUUUCCAGAGAUGGAUUGGUGCCUUCGGGAACUCUGAGACAGGUGCUGCAUGGCUGUCGUCAGCUCGUGUUGUGAAAUGUUGGGUUAAGUCCC